AAAACGAGAUUGACUAGUUUUUU
rnacentral:snRNA from 1 species